CAGAGUCCUGACUGGCUUCAUACAGUGUAGUUCCAGAGCAUUGACCUGGUGACUCUGUGACAACUGGUGAUAGAAGUGGGAUAAACUGCACCCCGUGGACAGAGCAUCCUGCAGUAAGUGACUGGGGAGCAGUAGAACGAAGGGGGAUUAGCAGGCGUGCUGAAGGCUCAGAGAGGUGCGGUUCCAGCAGGCGGAGGAGCCUACGGCUUAACCCCCGAGAGAGAGUGGACCCCCAAGAAGGGCUGUUGCACUGAAGGGGGUUUCUCCCAGGGACUGUGGGGAGCUGAGAGACCACAGGCCUAUGAGUCCGUGACCACUUGGGAACAGCAUGGAGAUGGCCGAUAACCAUCUCCUGAAGAAGGAAAUUGUGGAGCUGUGCAGAGAGAGAGGGCUGCACUUUGGAAGAUUCACCAAGGCACAGCUGCUUGCUUGGUUGGAAGAGAAUGAUCGCUUUAAGGAGCUGGUUCCUGUCCCAACUGGCUGCAAGAGAGGCUGGGAGUAGCCAGGCAUCCGCAGGGGUCACCCCAGCCACUGACUUAACCGGGGAUGCGAGAGGGGCUGAAAGCAGCCAGGCAACCCCAGGAUUCACCUACCUGACCAGCAGGGGAUCUUCCCAGCCGAGUUCCCCAUUGGUGGAGCUGAGACGGUUGGAGUUGGAAAUGGAACUAAAACUGAAAGAGCUAGAGGACUGUGAGAAGGAACGGGAGGACUGUGAGAGACAGAGGCAGCAUGAACUGGCAAUGGCGGAGCUGAGAAGGAGAGAGACCCCUACCGUGGUGAGUGGGGAUGGUCCCAGGGUGGCUAAGCCCGUAGGGAACUCCGAUAUAAAAGUGCUGCCUCCAUUUUUAAGGAAGGGGAUGAUAUAGACACCUUCCUCACUGUCUUUGAGAAGGCUUGCAAUGUGUACCAGGUUGACCCUGCAGACAGGCUUCAGCAUCUCACCCCCUUACUGGGUCCCAAAGCCAUAGAGAUGUUCAGCCAGAUGGAUGGUGUGGAAGCAGGGGACUAUGAGCUGUUCACGCAAGCCCUGCUGCGCAGGUUUGAGCUGACCCCCGAGCCGUACAGGAAAAGGUUCCAGGGUGUGCAGAAGACCCAAGGGAUGACCUAUCUGGAACUGGUCACACUGAUGGGGGAAUACACCCACAAGUGGGUGAAUGUUGCUGGGGCCCAGACCAAGGAGGACAUGAUUUAACAGAUGGGGCUGGAACGACUGUAUGAACUCUGUCCCCCUGACCUGAGGAUGUCGCUGGUGGACAAGAGGCCGAAGGACCUGCUCUGCACGGGGCUGCUGGCUGACGAGUUUGUAUUCAGCAGGUCGGGCUAUGGAAUGGAAUCCCAGGGGGACAGGCCCACAUCAGUGCAGAAGGGUCUUUGAUGCCAUCCAGCAGUACCGAAGGAGCCUUUGCAGAAGGUGGCUGUGGACAUAGUGGGACCCCUCAGCAAGGCAACUUGGACAGGGAAAAAUACAUUCUGGUGGUGGUAGAUUUUGCUACUCACUAUCCUGAGGCAGUGGUCUUGUCCUCUAUCGAGGCAGACACUGUGGCAGAUGCACUGCUGACCAUUUUCAGCAGAGUGAGGUUCCCCUAGGAAGUCCUUACAGACCCAGGGCUCCAAUUUCAUGUCAACUCUGCUCCGGUGCUUGUGGGAGAAGUGUGGGGUCCGACACACCUGGGCCUCAGCAUAUCACCCUCAGCCCAAUGGGCUGGUGGAGAGAUUCCAUGGGACCCUAAAGAUGAUGCUGAAAACCUUUGUAAACCAGCACCCACGGGACGGGGACAAGCAUUUACCCCACCUGCUGUUUGUGUACCGGGAAGUGCCCCAGGAAUCAACCAGGUUCUCUCCUUUUGAGUUGCUGUAUGGGAGGAGAGUGAGGAGACUGCUGGACUUGAUGAGUGACGAAUGGGAGGGGAAGGCCUCCCCCGAUGGAGGGGUGGAGUACGUACUGAUUUUCCGGGAAAAGCUUGCUGAGCUCAUGGACUUGGCUGGGGAGAAUCUAGCCAGGGCCCAAGGGAAGCAGAUCUGGUACGACCGCUCAGCACGUGCCCGCUCCUAUGCCACCGGGGACCAAGUGAUGGUUCUCAUUCCCGUGAGAAAGAACGAACUACACGCUGCCUCAGACUGGUCCUUUUAAGGUCAUCAAGCAGCUGAAUGAGGUGAAUUAUGUAGUUGAACUGUCUAACCGGGCUCACAGCCACCGGGUGUACCAUGUCAACAUGAUGAAGCUGUACUUUGACAGGGAGAAUUUGGUCCGGCGGUGUGUGGCCAGUGGGAGGAGCAGGGAGAUGAUCUCUUGGUGGAUCUAUUCCCUGAGACAGGGGCCGGAAUCGCUGGAAUCAAUUGCCCUCACUGACCAGCUAACCCCUGCCCAGCAGGCAGAGAUCCGAGGGGUGCUGGGUUCCUACCAGCAGCUGUUCUCCAAAUGGCCUGGGCUCACUAACCUGGCUGUCCACCAGGUGAAGACAGGAGCCCACCCUCCUGUAAGAUGCUCCCAUUCCUGUUCACUGGGAAAACAGCCCAGGACCUGGAGAGAGAGGUCAAGGACAUGCUGGCUUUAGGGGUGAUCCAGCCAUCCUCCAGCCCUUGGGCCUCGCCAAUGGUGUUGGUCCCCAAGAAGGACGGGUCACUCCAGUUUUGUGUGGAUUACAGGAGGCUUAAUGCCAUCACCAAGUUUGAUGCCUACCCCAUGCCUAAACCUGACAAGCUAGGCGGGGCUUGUUAUAUCACUACUAUGGAUCUCACCAAGGGCUACUGGCAAGUACCUUUGGAUCCAGAGGCCCGGCUGAAAUCUGCCUUUAUCAUCCCUCUGGGGUUAUACAAGUUCCUGGUCCUACCUUUCGGCCUAACAGGGGCACCUGCCACCUUUCAGCACCUGGUGAACCAGUUACUCAAAGGGAUGGAGAAUUUUGCCCUGGCGUAUAUUGAUGAUAUCUGUGUUUUUAGCCAGACCUGGGAGGACCAUGUGUCCUAGGUUAAACAAGUACUGGACCGGCUCCAGGAUGCAGGUCUGACUAUAAAAGCCAGCAAGUGCAAGGUAGGGAUGUCAGAGGUGUCAUAUCUGGGCCACAAAAGGGGGAGCGGCUGCCUAAAGCUAGAGCCAGCCAAGGUGGAGGUGAUCAGAGAUUGGCCUGUUCCCCAGACUAAGAAGCAGGUCCAGGCUUUCAUUGGGAUGGCGGGCUACUACCAGAGGUUCAUACCCCACUUUAGCUCCAUAGCCACCCCCAUCACUGAGCUAUGAAAGAAGGGUAAGCCAGAUAAGGUGGUCUGGACAGAGCAGUGCCAGAGGGCUCUCUGUGCUCUGAUGGAGGCUCUGGUCAAGGGCCUGGUGCUGGUAAACCCAGACUUUGACAAGCCCUUUAUGGUGUUCACCAACGCCUCAGACACAGGGCUGGGUGCGGUGUUAAUGCAGGUUGACGGAAAGGGGGAGAGACUACUACUACACUGCUACUACUACUACCAGGCUUACUUCUCUGAGGAGGGGAAAGUUAAAAAAAAAGAAAGCUUUUGGAAAGUCUGAUUAAAUCUGCACCAUUAUCUAUCCCAAUACUGGAAUUCAAAGUCCUAGCCAGAGUAAACCUUACUGUGGGCAACAACUCGAAGCCAACCUCUAAAAAAGAAAAGUCUUGUACAGAAGUCAUUUUAGAGUUGUUUCCCUGAUAAUGUUUACUCUAGCAGCAUUUAUUUCACUGGGACAAAAGGGAGAAAAAAGGCUAAAAGAAAGCAAAGUAAAAGGGAAUAAAAAUUUCUAUCCAGGUAACUGAUUUUCCAGUACAAGAACUCUCCACAACUCAAUAAAGGACUAUCAAGUUGCUAAACCCGGUAAAGGGGAUGAUAAGAAUGAAGACUGUGGAAGAUGGGGAAAUCUGGCACUCUAUGGUAACAGAAUCUGUCAUUCCCUUUGAGGCCAUAAAAAACACUCAGGGAAUGUGGACAUUUCAUGUACCAAAUAAGACAUAUAUUUCUGUGUGGGCACAUGGAUUAACAUCCAAGAUAUUAACAAAAGGGUGCCAAGAAGCUGCAGGAAAACAGGCUUUAGUAGUUAAGAGGGAAUAUAAUCCAACUAACAAAAGGGACCUCAAGUGUAACAAAUGGUGCAUAUGCAUUGGGGGACAACCUAUCCCAAGCAAUUAAUAUCAAAACUGGGGAAUUGUGGGACCCACAUACACCACAUAAAGAAACCCCUCAGACACACCAUCAUCAGGAAAAAGCACCCCAAGAAUAUAUAAUUCAAGGGGUUUGGUUUUAAAAUGAAACUAAAAUUCCAGUCAUAAAUAUAGGAUCCGCUGUAAAAUUGUAUAACAUCACUGAGAAUAUGAAAAUGUGUCAAUAAAAAUGUAAUUGGUGCACAUAGAACACAUGUUUACUGGGGACUGGUAAUAAAUCUGUAUUUAAAGUGUCCGAACAAAAGUACCCUAACAUAAAUAUGCUUUAAGAUGCCAUACCUCAUAUGGGGACAAUGUGUAAUAUAUGGAAGGAUAAAUAUAGGUUAAUGUAACCAAAUCAACACAAAAAUGUCACAAUGUUCCGAAACGUAUAAAAUGACUAAUUCUAGAUUGUAAUCAUAGUAGCUAUAUACACAACAAAUCUAAAUUUAAGAUUUCCGUAAUCUUAGUCCCCAAGGAGUGGAUAGUCAACAGUCUGUCACAGAGUCACCAGGCUAAUGCUCGAAAACUGCUCUCUAAAAAGCCUGGUAAGGCAUGCCUCCCCUCACACUGCUGCUGGGGCAAAAAAGCCUAAGUGGCCUUGGUCUUUCUGUGUCUGACUUCGGGGCAUUGAGCAUCCCCGCAGUGAGUCCGCCUGGGCGUGGCUCCUGGGGAAGCCAAAGGGCCCUGCACUUCAACUCCAUAGUCAGCUUUAACUCUCAGCCAAGAUUGUAAAAUGGAGGGUUUAUUAAUUAACAGGUACACAAUGUGGAACAGACUUGCUGGCAUGGGAAUUGGUAACUUUUAGCCGUGUCCAUCUUGGACUCCCUGCUUCUCUCCCAACCACAGACUGCCCAGUUUCUAGUGACCCGACCUCCAAUAUGCCCAUUGCUCCUACUGGUCUUUGGCUCACUUCCCGGGCAAAGUGGCACCGGUCACAUCCCCUCUCCUAGGUUUUAGGUUAUGAAGAGCACCUUCUAUAGCUUACGUACAGGCAACUGAAGUAGCCUUACCUGCCUUCAAGGGUCUUAGCAAGUCACAUGCCCUUGUUCCUACCACCUAAGCAUGGGUGUAACAUGCAGGAAAACUAAGGCACCACCCACAGUAUUUAUGCAAAACAGUCAAAACUCACAUGGACUCACUUACAACAAAAAGUGUACCAGGUAAUAUAUGUCCGCACCUGGAAAAUAAAACAGGGUACUAUGGAAUAGUACCAGAAGGAAAUGAACUAUGGUAAAUACCCAAAGUGAAAUGGAAACAAAUAAUAGGAGCCGAGUAAAAACAGGGCACCUUAAUCACAGGAGGAAAUUGAAAUUUGAAUUAAAAAGGGGGUAAAUACACCAUGAAUUUACAAUAAAAAAAAAGGGUUGGUGGGAAUUGCAUAAAAUAAACCAAGAUAUAUGUUGGUAUCAAAUGGAAAAAGGUAAUGAAGUAAUAAAUAACCUGACCUAAGGACCAAGGAAUGUAACAUACUUGUGAAGAUGUAACUCAUUUCCAAUACGAACAAUAUCAAGCGCACCCUCAAAUAACUAAAACCAUUGUGACUCACCCUCGAUUAACAUAGCCAAAUUUAAGGAAAAUAGAGUGGAAUAAUAGAGAUUGGGAUAUGAAAAUACAAACUAAUCAAGGCCAAAUAGAAUGGUCAACUAGACUAAUAAUAUCUGUAAGAGGUAUGCUUGCUCGAAAAUAUAAAACUGUUAAAAAAGCUGUAGAAAAAAUCUGAUCUCAAAUGUGUACUUGGUAUAGUGUUGUAUGUCAAGUAACAGUAUAAAAUAAAAUUAAAUGGGCAAUGUUAUUUUAAAUUUCUGAAACUGCAGCAUUAUUCCUUGUAUGUUUCUGUUUUGAAUAUCAAAUGUGUAAGCAAUAUAAAAAAAACCAAGCUUUGCAAAAAACUUAUAAAAUUGAGUUGUUGGAUUAUGCUACUAAAAAUCGUAAGAUAAGGCUUUAAGUUUUAUAGAAACCAGAAAAGGAGACACAUGAUCUAAUAGUUAAUGUACAAAUUGUGGGUAUGAUUGAUGUGAUAUUACAAUUAUCUUUGGUAAUUGAAUAUUGAAUGGGGGACUGUUGGGAUGGUGCCGAAUUGGUGUGGCUGUACUGAAUGAAUGGUGAGAACAUGGCUUGACGUGACUGAACUGCAAAAGAGGAUUCUGGGAGCAGAAUCCUUCUCUUAGCAUCAGGCAGGUGGCAGAGGUGAAACUGACUGGCUCCAUGCUGCGUGUAUGAUCAAUACUGAUCUUGGAGUCAGCAAAUAUGUCCACUUGAAGUCAGACAACCCGUGUAGAACAUCCUGAGUGGAGCAUGGGCUGACCAGGGCAUCUCGACCCUGUUGAAGGACAUCACACAGGGGGCUGAAGUGAAUGAUUGAUAAGGGAGUGAAUGUGGGAUAAUGUUCAGUUGGCACCACUCUGCAGUCUCCUCCUAAAGUAUGAAUUAGGUAAAAAUUAGUAGCCACAAGCCCACUGGGCAUGAUUUUAAGACAUGUGACUCCUUUGAGGAAAAAGAGUAUAAAAAUCAAGUAUAUUAAAUUACUGUUGGGGGAAUUCCUUAAUUAACGCUUAAAGAAGCAAUGCUGCUAGACAGAGUAGCCAAAACUCUGGAGUAGGACUGUGACCAGAGAGGUUUCCAGGCAGCCAAGGCCUGGACCAGAGGGCUGAGGAGACCAGACCUGGAGAGAAGAAAUCGUCCAUAGAAUUGGUAACCACCUUCUCUGUUUGCCAAGCAGAGCCUGUUGGUGUAUGUGAAAGAGCGGCUCGCUAAGAGGAAUGUAUAGCUCUUAAUGUAUAGUUCUUAAAUGUCUAACAUAGGAGUUGUGCUUAAUGUAACCCUUUACCGCUUGUAUAAUUCCUUCUCAUAUAAACUGCUGUGUUUGUAAGAUAA